UACGUAGGGGGCAAGCGUUGUCCGGAAUUAUUGGGCGUAAAGAGCGUGUAGGCGGUCCGGUAAGUCAGCUGUGAAAGUCAAGGGCUCAACCCUUGAAUGCCGGUUGAUACUGUCGGGCUAGAGUCCGGAAGAGGCGAGUGGAAUUCCCGGUGUAGCGGUGAAAUGCGUAGAUAUCGAGAGGAACACCUGCGGCGAAGGCGGGUUGCUGGGCUGACACUGACGCUGAUGCGCGAAAGCCAGGGGAGCGAACGGG
rnacentral:rRNA from 1 species